ensembl:lncRNA
GGUAACAUACACGUAUGCCUCAUUUACUCCACCAAUCACAUCCCUGUACUGGGACGCCCACAGAUACCUGUGUAUCCUGAUCAAUAAAAAUCCUCUUGCAGAUUGCAGCCUGUGGACUCGGUCUGGUCAUUGGGCUUGAGGAUCUCCCUCCUGAGGGAAGAUUCUCUCUGAGAGUCUUACAUAUGGGGGCUCGUCCGGGAUCGGAGAUCCUCUGCCUAGAGACCACCGACCACCCACCGGGAGGCUAAAAGACCUACAGGUGAUACAGAAAGAAAUCUGCUCACAGCUGACAGCAGCCUAUGCCCCGGGGACCCCUGAGACAUGUCAUCAGUUCCAGGUUAGAGACUACAGCUACACUGAGCCCAGACACUCGAGCCUCGCUGGAAAGGACCAUACCUGGUGCUGCUGACCACCCUGACAGCCAUCAAGUCUCAGCCCUCACCAGCAGCGUACUAGCUGUUGGGGCUGAGAGCUGGGACCUAGAGGGACACUCAGAUCUUCAAAAAGCUCCCUAGACUUAAGUGAUUGGGAGGUUGCUAUAAUGCUCACUUGAGGAGUGUGUUUUAGAAACAAGAAUUUCAUAUUUGCCUGUUUGCCCUGGGUUCCCUCGGAAUAGGUGUAAGGAUAGGCUUGAUUUUUAUUGCAAAUGAUGUAAUAUUACAUAUGUUAGUACUCCUAACACUUCUUGGGACUGUGCCUCAGGGAUCACAACCUAUAUAAGUUUAGAAGUUCUAAAAGACCUUGGUGUAUAGGUUCAGAUAGUGUCCAGAUUAGAAUCCUGAUGCUAAAGACUUAAUAAGACACAAAAGAGAGUUGAGAAUUAUUUAAGGCUAUCUAGGUGCUACAAGGGCAGCACAAGGACAUCUGCUAUUGCCCUAUAAUGCAAGGCUUAUAGAGAAUUCAGAACUGCCAUUGACUCAGAUAUGAAAAGAGUAAAAAAGACUUUUUAGCUGACCUCCAAGAACACCUAACCUCCCUCUCAGAGGUAGUCCUUCAAAAUAGAAAAAGAUUAGACCUGAUAUUCCUUAAAGAAGGAGUAUGUGUGCUACACUAAAAGAAGAAUGUUGUUUCUAUGCAGAUCAGAUAGGAAUAAUAAGAGAUAUAGUCUUUCAGUCAUUCAAACUUUUGUGCUGAGACAACAGUAUCAGAUGGUGAAACAACAAAAAACAGAGGUACCUUAACCAAGUUGAGUGGAAGAUUCCACUCAAGGACAAAAAGAAAAUGGGGGAAUGAAAGACCCCCUCCCAGAAAGGGAAUUGUACAAGCCCAAGGCCCUCAACUAUAGAAGUAAAAAGUAAGUUUUUAGAUAUGUGGGACAAGCUGACCCAUCAUUUAGACGAAACAGACCAGAAAAGAAAACAAAAUGCAGAAACCAGACUAAAUUAUGGGCACUGCUCCAUGGGCCACCUGGCAGGAAAAAGAAAAAGUCCCUGACCCCCCGGAAGCCCUGACCACCAUGUACUUUUUGCUAACUCAUUGUUAUGAUUAUAGCCAAAAUAGGUAACAUACACGUAUGCCUCAUCUGUACUGGGACGCCCACAGAUACCUGUGUAUCCUGAUCAAUAAAAAUCCUCUUGCAGAUUGCAGCCUGUGGACUCGGUCUGGUCAUUGGGCUUGAGGAUCUCCCUCCUGAGGGAAGAUUCUCUCUGAGAGUCUUACAAUCUGAGGAUUGUAUGAGAACUCUAAGGGAGCUUGCAGCCCCUCAAUGGGCCAUGUCACUGGUACUCACAAUCUUAGUGUUUGAUCUCUUUCAGGCAUUGCUGCUGGAGCAUAUUAACCAUUCAAUCACCACCCCAGGAAAGAACGUAGACUGUCAGCAAUGACCGCCACCCUUAGAAAGCAUUUGGGAAAAUAAAAUUGUUGGUGGAACAAAAUUGAGAUGUUUUUACUACUGGCUCUGGUGUAGAAAGUCUUAGGGAACGAUUUGAAGUUCAGAAAGGCACACUCUUAAUAGUUAAGCUAGGCACCUUUUAAGGUCAGGGAACAAGAACAAUGGCAGUACUAGCUGAAGAGACUCUUCUGCUGGAGCUGGGCGGUGAUCAAGGCAAGGGAUUCCUCGUGCCCAGUUUUGCCCUCAGCCUACUCUACGGUUUAAUAAAUUUUGCUGAUGAGUAGAUGUGCAGUCUGAGAAUUUAAAGUAGAAACGGCUGGUUGUCUUUUAUCUAAAAGUUUAGAUUUGUGAUUCUUUUAAGAUCUUUAUAAGAUUACUUUUUAAGAUAAAUGAUAAAAUAAUCUUUCCUUUCUUUGUAACUGCAAACUGCUGCCUGCCAGUAAGAGAAACUGGUUGAGAAAAUUACUUUGCCUGCUCACACUUUUGUAAUCUCUGGCAAGUUGCUUAGUUACAAAUGUACGUGGGUUUUUGGGAAUAAUCUGUUUUCUUUUCCUGUACUAUGUAAUGCUAUUUCUUGUAAAGGUAUUGGAGAACACGCUGUAUUUUCACAGUCAUUCACUAGAAGAAAAACAGAAUGCAAUCACACUGUAAUUUUAUACUGCUUGAGAGAUUUUGCUGUGAGAGAAAAAAAU